AGAACUUAUUGAGCAACAUCUUAAUCCUAAUAGGCCAAAAUCCAUGGAAGGGGACAUUCUUGAUGUUUUGCUCCAAUUGAAGAAAGAGAAAUCAACACCAAUUGAUCUCACUUUGGAGGAUAUAAAAGCAAUUGUCAUGGUAAUCUCUUGUGUCUUAAAAGCUCUCAAACACACACACACUCACAAACACAUACACGAACAUUGAACACCCUUUGUGAAAUUUG
rnacentral:misc_RNA from 1 species